AGAAAGGUGUUGCUGCAAACAUAUUGCAUCAAUGGCUUCAAAUAAGUGACUUUGCUGUCUUGUUCAGGUUUCUGUCUAACUCUUGCAUACACACCGCACUGAAGUUCAGCUCAGGAUUUCACCUUUGGAUCUGCUGUCAAACAUUGACUUUGAUCUACAUAUAUUUGCAGAUUCUCAAUCUGCAAACUGCUGUGUGAACUGUUCUACCUGUAGCACAACACACUUUGUGAUGCCUUGGAAGAGGGCUUUCUCAACCGCAGGGCCCUAGCUGUGAAAUGCCCUUCCUCUGGAGACCAGACUGGCAUUGAUACCAGCUUCAUUCCAGCACCAAGAAAAAGCAUUAACUUAAGGCUUUCAGGCAUAAUUAAUUCAUUCC
rnacentral:lncRNA from 11 species